UUUGGAAUUGGGAUUCUCAAAUAUGAUACAAAAUCACUUGCAGGAUAGCAUUUAUGUCAUUUUAUAAAUUCAUACUUAGGCGACUUCGUAAAUUAAGGCGCUGUUAAAGGAAUUAUCUACACAUUAUGAACACAUUUCGAGUAAUGGUGUCAAUCAAGCAGGUCGUUAUUGUUUCUGCGCUUGUGAGUUUCUGUGGUGCAUAUAAAGAGGAGGAACGUGUCUCAUGUCCAUCGUGCAUGCAUGUGUAUUACAAGGUAUCAAACGUUCCGUCGAACUACAAAACCAUGAUCUAUCGAAUCAUGUCAGACCGGAAUUAGGUAAACAAAGAAUGCGCACGUAACACGAUCGAACCGGAUGUGUGUCCGCGACCUCUGAUCCCAAGAUUUUUAGAGAACACGUGUCAACACACUACUCGUACAAUAGUUGCCAAGGGACUGAAAAAUAUAUCUGCGAAUGCAAAACUUAAGAUGACGUUUAUAGUCCGUCAGUGUGCCAUGGUACCUGCGGGGCAGACGUCCGGAUGUACAGACCUGAUGGCACUCCCUGAAAGUGUAAGGACCGGGAUUAUGGCGCCCAUCAAAAGACUGGAGAAAUCUUGGACCAACGUGACCCAAACUUAUCAGAUCUGCAAAGUACUAGCAUAAAGGCGACCUUUGCCUAAUCUUCAACAACAAGUGAAUAAAAUAUUAUUCUUUUAAAGUCUACAAUUGAAAUUUAUAUAACAUAUGUUCAUUUAUUUUGAAAUCUUGAACAGAGUGACGCCAAUAUAUAACACACUGAAUCCUCAACAAAAAUGAAUACGUUAACAUUUCCUGUUAAACAAUUUACUCAGUAUGUUUAUUAAAUUUCACAUUUUCAUCGUUGACCUGUA